GGAGCAAUGGGGUCCAGGCAUUGCAAGGGGAUUUCAUUGUUGCACUCAGGAUUGCAAUGUUUCCUGUCAUGUCACCUUAUGUAUACUCCAGUUACAACAGAUCUAUCACACAACAAAUUAUUUCAGGAUAAAAUUCAGUUGUACACCAUAGACCAUGUUGUUCUACAUGGUCAUGCACAUAUCCAGGCAGCAAUCUCAAUUAUGGACAGAAUGAGUUCCUCCCUACUGUCAGCAAUGCAUGGAACAUUCUAAUAGGAUUGAACCCAAUAUUGUUAACCUCUUCAGGUGCAACUUUCCGACAGGAACUUUCAGCCUUUUGAUGAUAUUAUGGUGCGAUAACUUUGUCCCAUACUGUCAAUGCUAAAUAACUUAAGUUAUCUUCAUUAUAUCCUUCUUUUUGUUUAUGUUACUCAAUUUUAUUCUUAUGGUUAUGUUUGUAUCUUUUUCAUGUGAUUAUGUUUGAAAGCACCAAAUAAUCUGCUGCAAUCCUCUAAAUGUAGUUGAUACAUGUCCUGUGUCAUAUUUAGUACUCCCUCCGUCUCAUGAAAUUUGUCUGAGAAUUGUCUAAAUUUAGAUGUAUCUAGAAACUAAAUAGUAUGUAGAUACAUCUAAAUUUUGACAAACUUUGACAUGUUUCGUGGGACAGAGGGACUAUUAUAGUUUUCUUUCAUUGGGUUCUCGGGCAUAAACUAUUCUAUAUCUGUUGUGCCUGAAUAAGUCGUUCAUUUAUGUUUGGUCAUAAUUUGCCUUGUUUUUCUUUUUUCCUGACCAUAGAUGUGAUUUCGUUAGUUUCGUUAUCCAUUGGUGGUGAUUUUAUGAGCACUGUGGACGUCAAGCGUCCCGAAGAAGAAUUAGGUGGCCUUGUUACACUAAAAUUUUGGAACUAUGUCUAGUGCUGGACAGUUUCAUUUGUCCACCGACGUUUAUGAGUCUCAGAGGUGUGGUCUCAAAGUUCAUCUUUGCAAAGCGAUGAAAAAGGUCAAUCUGGAUGGAGAUGCCAAUUAGUUCUCAUGUUAUGAUUCAAAUUGCUGGUUCCUCGUACCAAAACGGUUGCACGCACUGCAUGUUGUUCUUCAAGUAAGACUGAACUUUCUCUUCUAAACUGUCCUCAAGGAGGAACACCAGCAGAGCAAGACAGUGUAAUACUGCUAUUCGAUGCAGAAAAUUCGAGCCUAGUAUCGUCCUUCUCUGUACAGAAGGCUAUAGGAGGUAGCAUUGCUUUUGUGAAGGAUAAUUCCUCUAUUGAUGCAGCCACCAAUGCCAUGAGAGGUGAAGAUGCUUCAUUGUGAUUUAUGUAAAUGGUUCACAUGAGUAUGUUAUCUUUGAUCCCCGAGACAAUGAAUAGCCGCAAAUUAGCAAGUGGACACAGAAAAGAAUCUAAACUGAUGAACCUGCAGGAAUUUGUUAUGCUUCUAUCUAUGGUGAGCUUACCAAACAGGAAGUGAAGGUUUCGGAUGUUUUGUCAGGCCAUAUAAUGGUGGCAAACGAGUGAGAAGAACUGAAGUUUUGUCCGGCCAUAUAAUGGUAUUACUUGCCUGUUGCAAAUAUCUAUACACAGGGCCAAAUGAUAACGAAGAGAAGAGGUAGCAUCAAUAUAUGUUCAGGGAGCUGCACUAUCAUUGACAUGAACGCUUUGUCAGAUAUGCAAAAACAACCACCUGACUGUGGCCGUAUUUAGCAAAAGAAAUUGCACCAAGAAAGUUGAAACAAAAAAGCCAGGCCCUAAUGUCAAGGGCAUGCCACCACAGGAAGAUGCAAUUGCGCUAUUUUUUUUACGACUGUGCAUCCCGCUAUCUGGGGAAGAUCUUUUCACUGCAUUUUUUUUUUCGCCAUGCGAACACAUAUUUAUGUGCAUGAUCACGGCUGGGCGGUGCCUCUUUUUUUUGUGCUCUUUGGCAUCUUUCGCAGCUGACAG